rnacentral:rRNA from 1 species
GACGAACGCUGGCGGCGUGCUUAACACAUGCAAGUCGAACGGUAAGGCCCUUCGGGGUACACGAGUGGCGAACGGGUGAGUAACACGUGGGUGAUCUGCCCUGCACUUCGGGAUAAGCCUGGGAAACUGGGUCUAAUACCGGAUAGGACUCCUGGCUUCAUGGUUGGGGGGGGAAAGCUUUUGCGGUGUGGGAUGGGCCCGCGGCCUAUCAGCUUGUUGGUGGGGUAAUGGCCUACCAAGGCGACGACGGGUAGCCGGCCUGAGAGGGUGACCGGUCACACUGGGACUGAGAUACGGCGCAGACUCCUACGGGAGGCAGCAGUGGGGAAUAUUGCACAAUGGGCGCAAGCCUGAUGCAGCGACGCCGCGUGAGGGAUGACGGCCUUCGGGUUGUAAACCUCUUUCAGCUAUGACGAAGCGCAAGUGACGGUAGUAGCAGAAGAAGGACCGGCCAACUACGUGCCAGCAGCCGCCGUAA